UGCUGGUUUAGAUCAGCAGGUAGAGCGCCUGCCUUGUAAGCAGGGUGUCGGCGGUUCGAUUCCGUUACUUGCCGCCA
rnacentral:tRNA from 1 species